rnacentral:rRNA from 1 species
GUCGAGGGGCAUCAGUUUGGUUUGCUUGCAACCAAAGCUGGCGACCGGCGCACGGGUGAGUAACACGUAUCCAACCUGCCUCAUACUCGGGGAUAGCCUUUCGAAAGAAAGAUUAAUAUCCGAUAGCAUAUAUUUCCCGCAUGGGUUUUAUAUUAAAGAAAUUCGGUAUGAGAUGGGGAUGCGUUCCAUUAGUUUGUUGGCGGGGUAACGGCCCACCAAGACUACGAUGGAUAGGGGUUCUGAGAGGAAGGUCCCCCACAUUGGAACUGAGACACGGUCCAAACUCCUACGGGAGGCAGCAGUGAGGAAUAUUGGUCAAUGGACGCGAGUCUGAACCAGCCAAGUAGCGUGAAGGAUGACUGCCCUAUGGGUUGUAAACUUCUUUUAUAUGGGAAUAAAGUGGUCCACGUGUGGAUUUUUGUAUGUACCAUAUGAAUAAGGAUCGGCUAACUCCGUGCCAGCAGCCGCGGUAAUACGGAGGAUCCGAGCGUUAUCCGGAUUUAUUGGGUUUAAAGGGAGCGUAGGCGGAUUGUUAAGUCAGUUGUGAAAGUUUGCGGCUCAACCGUAAAAUUGCAGUUGAUACUGGCAGUCUUGAGUGCAGUAGAGGUGGGCGGAAUUCGUGGUGUAGCGGUGAAAUGCUUAGAUAUCACGAAGAACUCCGAUUGCGAAGGCAGCUCACUGGAGUGUAACUGACGCUGAUGCUCGAAAGUGUGGGUAUCAAACAGGAUUAGAUACCCUGGUAGUCCACACAGUAAACGAUGAAUACUCGCUGUUUGCGAUAUACAGUAAGCGGCCAAGCGAAAGCAUUAAGUAUUCCACCUGGGGAGUACGCCGGCAACGGUGAAACUCAAAGGAAUGACGGGGGCC